CUGUUUUUUUACAACUAAACAAAUCUAUCUAAAAAACAAUUCUUUACAAGAAAUUCUUAAAACUUUCAACAACGGAUCUCUUGGUUCUCGCAUCGAUGAAGAACGCAGCGAAAUGCGAUACGUAAUACGAAUCGCAGCUCUCGGAAUCAUCGAAUCUUUGAACGCACAUUGCACCAUUGGGUAUUCCCAAUGGUAUGCUUGUUUGAGCGAAUACUUCCCUAAUCCUCACGGAUUGUAUUGUGUUUGCACGAAAAUAAUGACGACAGUACUCUACAAAACGGUACCGUCAGUACACUCAUUUUUUUUCCUCAAAUCAAGUAGGACUACCCGCUGAACUUAAGCAUAUCAGAAA
rnacentral:rRNA from 1 species